UGCUUUCAUCACUUGGUUGGUGGUACGAAGGUGAGUUCCUUCAUCACCUUUCAUCACAUAGUUGGUGGCACGAGGAUGAGUUACUUCUUCACCUGGUUGGUGGCAUGAAUGGCAAGUUGCCAAAUGUUAGAGUACGGGUUGUACAUUUCAUCACCUGGUUGGUGGCAUGAAGGAGAGUAUGGGUUGUACAUUUCAUCACCUGGUUGGUGGCAUGAAGAUGAGUUCCUUCUUCACAUUUCAUCACCUAGUUGGUGAGAAUAAGGGUAAGGUGUCGAGGCAUAUUGUAGCAAGUGUCGAAUGACACAAAGUAUGUUGAACCCUUUCGAAGCACAGUUGGCUUAUGUAUAAAUGUGUUGGAAUGUAUGAUUGAACGAAUAUAUUGUGAAGCUGUUUGUUUAUUUGUAUAGUCUUGUUGACAUAUACUUAGACUUUGUUUCAUGUUGGAAGCAUUCAUGUUGAAGCUUUGAACACGAGUGUUUCAUUGCUAGGAAUGUAAGAGGAUUAGGACCGAGUUGUCUACAUCACCUCUUUAUUGAAUUCAUGCCAAAUAGUCUUCGUUACAUUGGAUGUCGAACAGUUGAUGUUGGAAGUAUGCCCACAAAGCCACUCAUUUGAUGUAAUAGCUUUUGGAAUACUUAAUGUAUUAAACUUUUAUAUGUUUAAUGAAGGCCAAAGCUUAUUGUUAAUCACUAUUUAUUGUAUCAUGUGUUUAAGCAAUAAGUGAAUCCAAGGAAUGUAUUUGA
rnacentral:lncRNA from 1 species